GACGAACGCUGGCGGCGUGCUUAACACAUGCAAGUCGAGCGAGAAAGCUCCUUCGGGAGCGAGUACAGCGGCGAACGGGUGAGUAACACGUGGGCAACCUGCCCAAGGGAGCGGGACAACCCGGGGAAACCCGGGCUAAUACCGCAUGAUGCGUCAUGUCUCAAGGCGUGACGCCAAAAGGUAGCUUCGGCCUCCGCCCUUGGAUGGGCCCGCGGCGCAUUAGCUUGUUGGUGGGGAACGGCCUACCAAGGCGACGAUGCGUAGCUGGUCUGAGAGGACGAUCAGCCACACUGGGACUGGGACACGGCCCAGACUCCUACGGGAGGCAGCAGUGGGGAAUCUUGCGCAAUGGGCGAAAGCCUGACGCAGCAACGCCGCGUGGGGAUGAA
rnacentral:rRNA from 1 species